GUGCUUCAGCAGCACAUAUACUAAAAUUGGAAGGCUACAGAGAAGAUUAGCAUGGCCCCUGUGCAAGGAUGACACGCAAAUUCGUGAAGCGUUCCAUGUUGGA
rnacentral:snRNA from 1 species